rnacentral:lncRNA from 1 species
AUGUUUAUAAAGCUAUUUAGACACCUAAAACACCAAGGUGUAUCUAGCGGGAUUUGCAAACAGAGCAAGCAGGUCAACUGUCAAACUCCAGCUGACAGCCAGUACAAGUUAGGAAUGAUGGGCCAGAUCCAAAAAGAGGUUCACAUGUCAGAUGCUAAGUAUUAUGAAGUCCAGAAGUCAGGCACCAACUGUGGACUCAAAAACCUUAACCAGAAUAUAUUAUACACACAAACAGAAGAAGCUACAGACAGUGAACAGGAAAUACUGACAAGAGGGAUGCACUUGAAAUUCUCCCUCUCUUCUGGGCACAGCACCUCUCCAGGGAAGAAACGCACCACCCAAAAAUCCUUUCCUGUAUGUAAGAAUGCAUGCGUGUAUGCACUGUCAUCUGGGCCACAGAUAAUGGCCACUCUUCUUUUAAGACAAAGAGAGAUUGGCACCCUCCUUUUACAGAGUAGUCUCGUAGUUAGAGAAGUCAGCUUGGAUAUGGGCAUUUCUUCAUCCCGAGUGUUGUCAAAAAUAGUACAGUAUGUAUUUAUUUGACAAGGAUGGGGGCACAGUACUCUUUCAGAUGAGAUGGUAUUGCCUACCAGCAUAUUUUUCACGCAAUUCACGGUCAUUGGUUGACCAUAGCAGCGACCAAGCACUGAGUUAGAUCAAUGGAAACAUCACUGCUGCUUCAGCCAGACUCUGCUGGCCCCCGAGCUGAGCAAAGCGCAGCAGAGUCAUGCUAUGCACAGAGGAGCCGUGUAAGCUGUGCGCCUUGCCCAGGUUACGCGACGUAAGAACGUGCCUACCCGCUGGGCCAGCACACAUCCAUAGCCAGUCCUGAGGCAAUCUAGGACCACAGAUGAGGGGAGAUAGGAAAAACUGCUGAACAGCCCCACGACAUCUCCCUUUUUCCUGAAGCCUGCACUGGGCUGAUGACUAUGUCAGACGGGUAGAGACUCAGGGCUGGAGAGCUGCUGCACUACGAUGGCAAUGCAUGAGCUUCCAGGGCUAAAAUUCCCCAUCUCCUCCCAAAUAUCCCUGCCUGAAACAACAGAGGUUAAAGCAGUACGGGAAGUCAUCAUUUCUCAGCCAGGUAUUAUCAGUCAUCGUUUGUGAAUUUGGAGAGGUUACCUUAUCUUGUCAUCAUAUACCACUGAAGGCAAUUUAAAAUAAUUGGUUUUACCUUGCAGUGCAACUGGUUAAGGGCACACACACAGUGAGCUGUUGUGCCACAGCUGAGGGGCAAUAGCUCUUACCUUUCUCUUACUCAGUCACUUCUAAAUGGUUGAGCAUAUUUCCCGCUUAAAUCCCUGUGGCGGUCUGAGCCUGAGAGGACCAAACUUGGGCCUCAGAAACAGGCUUUGGAUUAAAUAAUUAUUCAAGUCUGUUCUUGAUUCCACACGUAACUAUCUUCAAGAUAGGUUUGAGGUCCGUUGAUGACCCAGUGUUUGCGUACUGAGGCUGUACCUAUGGACUUCAUUUCCCAGAGCUUUAUGGCUAGAGAUAUACUAAUAUGAACUAUAGAUUUUAAUUCAAGAUUUUAAAUUAGCAAGGAUGCUUAUUGCUUCAGAUAUUCAGUGGACUUUAUCUUUAACUGAAUUUAUAAAAAGAAGUGGUCAGCAAGUCCCAGUCACAUGAGAAACUUGGCUGAGAAGUCCAAAGGCUGAAGUACAAAUUCUUCCUUCAUGUUUCCUUUGAUACACUGCCUUUUCUCAGUUGACAGCAGUGAAGCUUCACUGAAAAUGGACCCUCUAGGCCAGUUUUCCAUUAAUUUCUAUUCCCAUAUACUUCAAAGUGUGAAUUCUCUAAGGACAACCCAAGCAUCUGAAUAACUAUUUAGUUUUUUCAGCCUUUUUUUACACUGAGACACAAAUUUGCAAGUCCUUUAAUAUUCAGUCACUUAUUGUGUGUCUGCAACAUCUGUAACAGAGCAUUGAAGCUUCCAGGAGCAGACAGUUUACCUUAUGGCAAAUUCCAAGGCAGUAUUUAAAGUUCAAAUGAAAUUCCAGCAUUCAAAGUGGGAGGUUUAAGAAAAAAAAAGUCCCAGGUCUGUCAGUGAAAAGUUUAAUUAUGGACAAGAUGACACACACAGAGUAAAGCCCACAAAGGCAGCAACGCUGCUGUGGAAGCACAUUCCAAUAAAAUCUUAAAAGAUUACUUUAAUAAUAAACCA